rnacentral:rRNA from 1 species
GGGUCCUGCGGAAGGAUCAUUACCGAGUGCGGGUCUUUAUGGCCCAACCUCCCACCCGUGACUAUUGUACCUUGUUGCUUCGGCGGGCCCGCCAGCGUUGCUGGCCGCCGGGGGGCGACUCGCCCCCGGGCCCGUGCCCGCCGGAGACCCCAACAUGAACCCUGUUCUGAAAGCUUGCAGUCUGAGUGUGAUUCUUUGCAAUCAGUUAAAACUUUCAACAAUGGAUCUCUUGGUUCCGGCAUCGAUGAAGAACGCAGCGAAAUGCGAUAACUAAUGUGAAUUGCAGAAUUCAGUGAAUCAUCGAGUCUUUGAACGCACAUUGCGCCCCCUGGUAUUCCGGGGGGCAUGCCUGUCCGAGCGUCAUUGCUGCCCUCAAGCCCGGCUUGUGUGUUGGGCCCUCGUCCCCCGGCUCCCGGGGGACGGGCCCGAAAGGCAGCGGCGGCACCGCGUCCGGUCCUCGAGCGUAUGGGGCUUCGUCUUCCGCUCCGUAGGCCCGGCCGGCGCCCGCCGACGCAUUUAUUUGCAACUUGUUUUUUUCCAGGUUGACCUCGGAUCAGGUAGGGAUACCCGCUGAACUUAAGCAUAUCAAAAGCGGGAAGGAAAG